rnacentral:rRNA from 1 species
CAUGUCUAUUUGUAGUUGUAAAUAGUCCAAUCUGCCCACUGAUGAGUGUAUUAAAGGGCCGCAGUAUUCUAACUGUGCAAAGGUAGCAUAAUCGUUAGUUCCUUAAUUGGGAUCUUGUAUGAAUGAUUAGACAAAAGAAUCACUGUCUCUAUAAUAAAAAUUGAAUUUAACUUUUAAGUGAAAAGGCUUAAAUUAUUUAAAGUGACGAUAAGACCCUAUAAAGCUUAAUAUUUUAUAAAAAUGUAAGUGAUAUAUAAUUAUAAAAUUUUAAAUAUUAUGAAUAUUUUAUUGGGGCGAUAGAAGUAAAAUUAAAAUAACUGCUUUUGUGUUUAAACAAUUAUAAAUGAUUAAUUUAUAAUGAUCCUGUGAUAUGGAGUGUAAGAUUAAGUUACUUUAGGGAUAACAGCGUAAUUUUUUUUAAGAGUUCUUAUCGAAAGAAAAGAUUGCGACCUCGAUGUUGAAUUAAAAUAUCUAUAUAAUUGUAGAAGUUAUAUAAGAAGGUCUGUUCGACCUUUAAAUUUUUACAUGAUUUGAGUUCAGACCGGUUUAAACCAGGUCGGUUUCUAUCUUUUAAUUUAAAUUGUAAUUACUUUA